UAAAGAAGAAGGUGGUUUUGUGUAGCCUCCCUGAUCCCCAAUCCAAUCUCUCUGUGGCUCUUUCUUCUUUGUAAUUCCAGAGCCAGUGAUUCCCUGUAGCAGUUUUGGAGAAAUAGCCAGAAGCUUGCUGAUUUUCACCCUCCCAGCAGAUGAGCAUAGACACAUGUUCACUUGUGAAUGUGGACAGGCUUGUGACCAUUUUGACCAAUAUGAUAUAAUGGAAUGGAAUGAGGCUAUAUGGAUUCCAAGGGUAGGUCAUAAGGGGGCAUGUGGGUUCUGCUUGAUUCUCUUAGAAUGUUCAUUCUUUGGACUCCCAAGUCAACAUGCGUAGGAAGUCUCAACUACACAUGGGUGUUCCAGGUCACAGUAUUAGAAGACUCAUCUUGGUCAGAACCCCAGGAGUAGAUAUAUAGGAGGUUCCCUAGCCAUCUGAGAAGUUCUUGCUGAAAGUCUGAAGUGGAGGACCGAGACAAGCCACUCCUGUCUGCUGUGUUCUGUUCACAUUCCUGAUCCACACCAUCCAUGCUCAUGAAAAAGGGGUUAUUCCUGGCCACUGGUGUGUGUGUGUGUGUGUGUGUGUGUGUGUGUGUGUGUGUGUGUGUGUGUGUAUGAUAUACUGUGGUAGGCAACCAGAAUAAUGAGGAACAUAUUGAGACGUUAGGCUUUCUGUUCAGUCAUAAGUCCCAUAGGUUGUGAGUUCCAGCCCGUCAGCCUUCCUGCCUUUUAAAGUUCAUGAUACCGUUUUUGAAAACUACUGUUAAAAUCAGUAGGUUAUAGCCUUUUCUUGACAUUAUUCGUUGGAGCAUCCCAGAUACUUUUCACGGGACCGUAGGAAUGUUGCUCAGGGGGAGUAGACACAGGAGCUUGGCGUUUCUUGAGGGAUUGGUUAGAGAUCCUAGCAGCUCAGUGAAUCUUUGAAUAUAUCCUUGACUAAAAGAGUGGUUCUCCAUCAGCAGAGAUCAUUCUUUGUGACUGAGCGAGCUGCUCUGCCUGCAUACAGGAUGGUCAAAGGGGAAAAGGAGUCUGGCCACCUGGAUCCAUCAGCUGGAUCCACCCAGGUGGCAGUCGCAUGAUAGAUGUUGCAGACAGAGCAUCUUCACAUCUGGAGUUUGACAUUUCUGCGUGAAGAGUGAGCAGAAGGCUUAAGGAGCCCUCUUCUUUGCCGUCCUGGGGACUUCUGUUUAUUUUCUAGUUCCCUAGCGUGUUCCAUAGCACUGGACAUGAACCUGGGGCAGGAUGAAGAUUUAGUAACUGUGAAAGGCAAUUAGACAUGGAACUUGUAUAGUUAUUGUUAGGUCAGAGAAUUGGAGAAUAAUCCACCAUGAAAACCAAGGAAACUGAUCUAUCAGGGAGACUGCUAGGUUAGGGAUCCUAACCAUGUCAGUGGAUGGGGGUCGGGAUUGAGCAACUUUUUAAAGAAAAAGCCCAUAAAUUAGGUAGGGCAGGGGAAAGGGGAGGUACAGCCAUUUGUGUUCAUGUAUUUUGUGUAUUUCCAACUGUCUUUCACAUCUGGCAUCUUAAGUGGGUUACUACCUGUCUAAUACCUCAGUUUCCCUGAUAACUUGGCUUAGAUAAAGACCAACCAAUCAGAGUCGUCAUAGCAGUGGCUAGGGUUCGGUUCCUAACUGGAUACUAACCAACAAAGCAUUGCGUGAGAUAGUGUGGCCUAAGUUCAUGCUGGGCAACUGGGGCCAGAAGCCAUUUCUGGGAAUUUAGCUGUUUCUUAGAAUUCAGCCCAAUACAAGAUGGAGAUGUUUUACGAGAUGGGGUUUCUUGAGGCUGAAGUGGCUUCUAACAUAACCUAGGAAAUAAGCUGCAAGUCGGACUCUAGAGUUUGUUUGCAAAACUUGGCAGGCGCUAUGUCCCAUCAGAGCUAAGAAAUGGAUUUCAGGUGGACUGAGCCAAUAGACAAUUAAGGUACUAAAUACAUACCAGUAAAUGGCCAAA